rnacentral:rRNA from 1 species
CCCUUAGAUGUUCUGGGCUGCACGCGCGCUACACUGAUGCGCUCAACGAGUUUUAACCUUGCCUGGAAAGGUUGGGUAAUCUUUUUAAAACGCAUCGUGAUGGGGAUAGAUUAUUGCAAUUAUUAAUCUUCAACGAGGAAUUCCUAGUAAGCGCGAGUCAUCAGCUCGUGCUGAUUACGUCCCUGCCCUUUGUACACACCGCCCGUCGCACCUACCGAUUGAAUGGUCCGGUGAAGUCUCCGGACUGAGUACUUUUAGUACUUGGGAAGUUGACUAAACCUUACUAUUUAGAGGAAGGUGAAGUCGUAACA